UCUUUAUGCCCUAAUUUUCUCCUAUCUCUGUUCACUCUCUCGCUACUUCUUUCUCACAGGCCUCCGCCAACACCUCCGCCUUUGCCGACGCCACCUCCGCCCUUCUCCGAGGCACCAGGAGCUCACACCAACGCCUUCUCCGCCCUUCGACGCCGACGCACCUCCGCCCUUCGUCGACGCACCAGGAACCAUUUAUCUGGUUUCAAUUUGUGCGCUGAUGGUUCGAUCUUCUUCGGCAGAUCGUUUUUUUGUUCCUUAAAAAAACUAAAUUUUCGGGUUUUAUGUGUUUUUGAGAUAAGUUGGCCGGAAUUUUUAUCUGGGAAGUUGAUUAUUUUGAGGUUUGGUGUGUUUAUUGGAUCGGAUUGAUUAGAAUUGGUUGUGUUAUUGAAUCACUGAAGUUCUAAUUUGGGCUAUUUUGUUAAGGCUAACAAAAUUUUCAAUUUUCAAUUUUUUUUCUUCUGUAUUUUGUAGAAUGAUUGUUUGUUUUGAAAAUUUCCAUCUUUAAUUUUAGAGUUUAAUUCGUUUUUGUGCUUCCAUACAUUACUAUGAGAUUGAAAGGUGUUUAGAUCCACCGAAACAGUUCCUAUGAAAUGCAGAUUUUUUUUUGAUUCAUCGAUGUUUUGUGUGUCAGUUUGCUAAUGCAUUCAAAUUUUUUUAUGAUGUGUAGAAAGCUAAGGGUAGCAAGUAUAUACUGUAUAAAUGUGAUGGAAGAAGAUGAAUGUGUGUAAUAUUUGUUGAGCUGGACUAUUUUAACUGGCAUGAAUUUGAUCAUGCUCGUUCUUAGCCGUUACAUAUUUUCAGUUGGAAGAUGCCACCUUCGUCGUCGCACCUCCGCCCUCCUCCAACGCACCAGGAGCCCACAUCAACGCCACCUCCGCCCUUCGCCGACGCCACUUCCGUCAUCACACCUCCACCGACGCCCACACCGAAUUCUUGAAACUUGAAACCCACUAAUCAAUUGUAGUUGGAUUGGAAUUUCUUACCGUUCACCGCUUGCUGUUGCACAUUGUCACGCCAUUCGCUGCUUGCCAUUGUACAUUACCAAUUGUUCGAGCUUUAUUGUUCGUUGUAGCAAACCACUCGUUCCCCGUUGUGUCUGCUCUUUACCUUGCUGAGGAUGUUGAAGCUUCUCUCAGUCAAAACAGUCAAGCAAAGAAAGAAGGGAAGGCUGAUACAGAGUGGCAUCAAUAUGAAAUUGAAAAGAAGAUUGAAAGUAAGUCCGAGCACUAUGACCCCUCUGUCACUUGCAACUAAUUCUCUAAGGAAGAAUGAGAAAACGAGAAUUAACUUAUCUUUGUAUAUUUCAUAUUCAUGUUUGGAUAAUUUAACUUAAAUGUGAAUUUUAAAGUAGUGGAUAUAAAAUUUGAGUUGUUUAA